AGUGGUUCUUGGGAGAAUGGAUUUCAGUGAGGCAUGGAGUGCAGUGGAUGACGGAGCUGAAGAAUAGAGCCCUACAGUUCAGCCUCCAGGAGUUCUCCAUCCCAGCUUCGGGCAGGAUGGCUGCACUCCCAACCAUGUGCUGAAGCUGGCUGCGACAACACCCAGCCCGCUGUGUGUCAAGGUGACCCGGCUCCGUGAAGUGCCGUGCUGAAGGCUAUCUAAGCAUGCUGCCUGCCAUUCAGGCUCCUGGACCUACUUUGCAGAAGCUGAGCAAGAGGGCUGGGCAGAAAUGCUAGGGAACCAUAGGCAGAGCGAUGGCUAGGGGAGAGACACGCCAGCCUCCUUAGAUUUAACACACAGAAAAAUAAAAACGUACACCUCCUUUCUGAUGAGGAGCACAA